ACGGCCGGAAUAGCUCAGUCGGUAGAGCAGAG
rnacentral:tRNA from 1 species